AGAAAGUUUUAUUUUAGCUUAAAAAAUCCUUAUAAUUGAUUUUUUACAUGUAAGUUUUAGCAAGUUGUGAUUUGUUUUCUAAAAGAAAACUUAAAAUUUUAUUCGCAGUAUAAAAUAUUAAAUAUCUAGUAGUCUAGGAUUUGGGUAUAAUUAUUAGUACUGACUAAGUUUGUGCCAGCAGUCGCGGUUAGACAAACAGUUCAAAGGAUUUAUAUUGGUUUUAAUUAAUUUGUACAAUAAAAUUUUAUUUUGAAUUUAUUAGGUGAAAUUUUAAAUUUAAUAAUAAUUUGUUUUUGGUUAGUGAAGUUAAAAAAUUUAUGGUUAAACUAGGAUUAGAUACCCUACUAUUUUAAAUGUAAUUUUAUUAAACCUAAUUAGUAAUAGUUAUGUUCUUGAAAAUUAAAAAAUUUGGCGGCAUUUUAGUCUUUCCAGAGGAACUUGCCCUGUAAUUGAUAGUCCACGAUUUACUUUACUUGUUUUAAAUUAGUUUAUAUAUCGUCGUGGUUGAAUAUUUUAGGAGAAUAUAAAAUAUUCAAAAUUUUUAUUUAAAAAUAAAUUCAGAUCAAGGUGUAGCUUAUAAGCAAGCAGAGGUGAGUUACAAUAAAAUUAUUUUUGGAUAUUUUUAUUGAAAAUUAUUUAGAAAUUGGAUUUGGUAGUAAUAAGAUUUAAAUUUUUUGAGUGAUUUUAGCUCUAAAAUGUGCACAUAUUGCCCGUCGCUUUUGUCCUAAGAUGAAAUAAGUCGUAACAUAGUAGACUUACUGGAAAGUGUGUCUAGAAGAGC
rnacentral:ncRNA from 1 species